GAGUUGGAGAAUAUCAAGUCAGCUGAAGUGAGCAUUAAAGAUGCCAAGUCCAACCAUCUGCCCAUCACCAUGCAUUCUUGUGCUUCCACACAAAGCCUAGAAACUUGUUGCUCUGCAACCUCAGGACCCGCGUCGGCCCAGGCAAGCUCAGAGGUGAAGCGGACGACGGCGAGCGUCGGAUCUUCUUCGGAUAUAGGAACGAUGGUCGUCAUUGCAAGGGCUAUCUGCAACGCUAUUGAAACUUGCUCUUGCCGCAGAUAAGAGAGAGAGAGAGAGAGAGAGAG
rnacentral:misc_RNA from 1 species